rnacentral:misc_RNA from 1 species
GAAAAAAUAAACAAUUCAUGAGUCUCUAAUUCCUUUUUGGCAAAUGCCAAUAAAAAAUUGUGGGGGGGACAAAAUCCAGAAAAUUCGAAGUGCGAAAUGCUUCAACUAUGAUGAACUCUUCUUCCACGUAAUAAGUUACAUUAGAGAAAAAUUAUACAUUCGAGGCAUGAAUCUGGUGCUCCUGCUGCAAAAACCAUCCCUAAUAUCUUACAAACUGCCUCGUAUCGUCAGCUCUUUUCUUCCCAUAAGGAUUGCCUUCGCUGAACCCAUUUCGGCUUCCUUCAACUUUACGCUUUUUCUGCCUGAACUUGGAAGCGUUGCUAUCUAUGUUGAGGUGUACUUUUGGAGGAUUAGAAAAACAGAACGAAGAAGCUACAGCCUGCAGAUCAAGUCUGUGAACAUUGAAUAUUUCCUUCAUGGAAUGAGAAUUAUAUGAUAGUAAAUAAGACCUAUAUGCCUCUUUAGCCGACUGGUUCAAGUAAUAGUUGUUUGCAACCAAUUUUUCCAGGAGUGACUGCACAUUGGCCAGCUUCUUAUGAUCAAAUUCGUAUUCUUUUACAGGUACUUUUGCCGCCUUCAGGUACUUGAGAAACUGCAACUCCUCUGGAAUCAAGAAUAGCAAAGCGUUUCCUUUAGCACCUUCACCACGUGCUGUUCGACCAACUCUGUGUAUGUAUUCCUUGGGUUCAUCGGGGGGGUCAAACUGCACAAUCCAGUCCACAGCAGGAAUAUCCAGACCACGUGCAGCGACAUCUGUGCAUAACAGGAUGCCCUUCUUUGCUUCGCAGAAAUCAAAAAAGGUAGACGUUCGUUUUUGCUGCUUUUGCUUCCCAUGAAUAUCAUGGCACUCAAUCUUGAUAUAGCGAAGAAGUUCGGAAUGGAACUUGACAGAGUUGCAAGAUGAGAAGAAAACCAUUAUUUUCUUUGACAGGUUCCUCUUCAAGAAUGAAUAAAGGAGAAUAAAUCUCCUGGCACUUGGGACAACACAGUAUCCUUGUUGUAGCCCUUCAUUUGUGACCCUCCUUCUCCCAUCGUCCACAUCAAUAUAGAUAGGAGCUGUCAAAGAUAAGCGUGCAAGGUCCUCAACCUUUUUUGUCUGUGUGGCCGAAAAGAGAGCAGUCUGCCUCCCCUCCUUUGGUAGAAGUUUAAGUAUUUGUUGCAUAUCUUCCUCAAAGUUUGCUUCCAAAAUCCUAUCAGCUUCAUCAAUCACGAGACACUGAAGGUUCUUAUAAUUGAAACCCUUGGUAUUUCUAAGAUGAUCAAGUAGUCGACCAGGGGUGCCUACUAAGAGAUUAGCCCCUUUAGCAAUACGCUCUGCCUCUGCUCUUCUUGCUGAACCACCGAUAACCAACCCAAGAGUCUGCGAGUGAUACUUGAGAAGGUCCUUUGCCACAGCAUGUGUCUGUAUAGCCAGUUCUCUUGUUGGGCAAAUAACAACCACCCCAGUUCCAUUACGUGGUGUAAAGUGGACAUUAAAUAAUAACUCCACAGCUGGAACCAAAAAUGCUAGAGUUUUACCAGAACCAGUUCUUGCAGCUCCGAGGACAUCCUUGCCUUCCACAAGAGGAGGAAUUGCCCUAGCUUGGAUCUGAGUCAUGUACUCAAAUCCCAUAUCCUCAAUAGCUUUCCUGGUGAGCUCAGAAAUUUGAACAGAAGAAAACAACUCUGAACUCAUAAUACCUGACCCACUCUUCAUCUCUUUCUUAAUCUCCUCCUUCAGUUCAUCACCCAAUUCCUGUCUUUCUUCAUCAUCCUCUUCCCCUUCCUCUUUCUCUUCCUCCUCCUUGGUCUCCUUUUCCGUAACCAUUUUGUUCUUCUUGUCUCUCUUUCGCUUUCUCUUCUUCUUAAUUGACUCUUCUUCCGCAAUAACUAUAUUAGGGUUUUCUUCAACCUCCGCCAUGGUUGAGAAUUUAUAACUCAGCGGCGGGGGGUGCAAGUUGAUAUCGUCGGAGAAAGAGAAACUGAGAGUUUGCCGGAGAAGAGGAAGAAAAGAUGAGCAG